rnacentral:rRNA from 1 species
UACGGGGGGGGUAAGCGUUGUUCGGAAUUACUGGGCGUAAAGGGCUCGUAGGCGGCCAACUAAGUCAUACGUGAAAUCCCUCAGCUUAACUGGGGAACUGCGUGUGAUACUGGAUGGCUUGGAUUUGGGAGAGGGAUGCGGAAUUCCAGGUGUAGCGGUGAAAUGCGUAGAUAUCGGGAGGAACACCAGUGGCGAAGGCGACUACCUGGCCUGUUCUUGACGCUGAGGCGCGAAAGCUAGGGGAGCAAACGGGG